rnacentral:rRNA from 1 species
AUUGAACGCUGGCGGCAUGCCUUACACAUGCAAAUCGAACGGUAACGGGCCUUCGGGUGCCGACGAGUGGCGAACGGGUGAGUAAUACAUCGGAACGUGCCCGAUCGUGGGGGAUAACGAGGCGAAAGCUUUGCUAAUACCGCAUACGAUCUACGGAUGAAAGCAGGGGACCGCAAGGCCUUGCGCGGGCGGAGCGGCCGAUGGCAGAUUAGGUAGGUGGUGGGAUAAAAGCUUACCAAGCCGACGAUCUGUAGCGGGUCUGAGAGGAUGAUCAGCCACACUGGGACUGAGACACGGCCCAGACUCCUACGGGAGGCAGCAGUGGGGAAUUUUGGACAAUGGGCGCAAGCCUGAUCCAGCCAUGCCGCGUGCAGGAUGAAGGCCUUCGGGUUGUAAACUGAUUUUGUACGGAACGAAAAGCCUUCUUUUAAUACAGGAGGGUCAUGACGGUACCGUAAGAAUAAGCACCGGCUAACUACGUG